AGACAGAGGUGGCAAGCGUUGUUCGGAUUUACUGGGCGUAAAGAGCAUGUAGGCGGUUAGAUUAGUCAGUUGUGAAAUCCUAUGGCUUAACCAUAGAAUUGCAUCUGAUACUGUCUAGCUAGAGUGCAGAAGAGGAGAGUGGAAUUUCCAGUGUAGCGGUGAAAUGCGUAGAUAUUGGAAGGAACACCGGUGGCGAAGGCGGCUCUCUGGUCUGUAACUGACGCUGAGAUGCGAAAGCGUGGGUAGCAAACAGGAUUAGAAACCCCAGUAGUCC
rnacentral:rRNA from 1 species